rnacentral:rRNA from 1 species
GACGUGGGGGGCAAGCGUUGUCCGGAAUUACUGGGCGUCAAGCGCGUGUAGGCGGGAGAUCAGGCGGCGUGUGAAAGACGAGGGCUCAACCCUUGGAGGUCGCGCCGAACCGGUAUUCUUGAGACUGCGAGGGGCGGGUGGAAUGGUUGGAGGAGCGGUGAAAUGCGUAGAGAUGUGGAGGAACACCAGUGGCGAAGGCGGCUUUCCAGAACGCGCUCGACGGUGAGGGAUGAAAGCUGGGGGAGCAAACCGG